rnacentral:rRNA from 1 species
UACGGAGGCAGCAGUGGGGAAUAUUGCACAAUGGGCGCAAGCCUGAUGCAGCCAUGCCGCGUGUAUGAAGAAGGCCUUCGGGUUGUAAAGUACUUUCAGUCGUGAGGAAGGUGUUAAGGUUAAUAACCUUAGCAAUUGACGUUAGCGACAGAAGAAGCACCGGCUAACUCCGUGCCAGCAGCCGCGGUAAUACGGAGGGUGCGAGCGUUAAUCGGAAUUACUGGGCGUAAAGGGCACGCAGGCGGUUAAUUAAGUUGGAUGUGAAAUCCCCGGGCUUAACCUGGGAAUGGCAUUCAAGACUGGUUAGCUAGAGUCUUGUAGAGGGGGUAGAAUUCCAUGUGUAGCGGUGAAAUGCGUAGAGAUGUGGAGGAAUACCGGUGGCGAAGGCGGCCCCUGGACAAAGACUGACGCUCAUGUGCGAAAGCGUGGGGAGCGAAACAGGGAUUAGAUACC